rnacentral:lncRNA from 1 species
UUUGAUUCACCCCCAUCAAAUAUAUAUAUAUGCAUGUCUGGCGGUGCCCUUCUUUGUAGAUGCUAUAGCUCCUUAUAUGCCAUGGUAACAUGCAUGGGCCUUUAUUUAGCGCAUGUAAAGCUAGCUAAGCUACGCACCUGGCCAUGUGCAGUGUCUUCCAAGUAUAGCUAGCACCGUCCCCUCUGCCUGUUCGAUCGGUAAGCCUGAAAUCAGUUAUUUGCAGUGGCUCUGUCCAUCACGCAUUCCUAUCUCUAUCAGAAAAUGUUCGUUUUUGUUCGAUCGAUUCUCCCCUACAAAAAACAAAAAAAAACCACUUGCUUAUUGUCCACACUACUGCGACACACUGUCGAGAUAGGAAGUGGCGGCUGGACGGAGCGAUAAGAAGGAAGGACAAGGACGAGAAGAAAUCCCAGCGGGAUGGAUGAUGGAGCUGUCACAGGAAGCGAUUGGUAGCUAGGACUCUGGAUAAGGAAAUUGCGUGAGGCAGGCUGCUGCUACCGUGGCUGAUGCAGUUGCACGGACAUGUGCGUGCUGUAUUAAAAAUUGCUGCAGUCAUUGAAUCAUGUGGCAGAGAACCUGCGGAUUAUUUGGAUAUAUAGGAGGCAUCUGACGCGUUGAAAUUUGUCGUCAGAGCAAGUCUAAUAAAGCAGAGCAUAAUAUAUUGAGAUUAGAUCAUCGCCGAUCUUUUGUCAAUAUUGUAUUGAG